rnacentral:rRNA from 1 species
CUACGGGACGCUCCAGUGGGGAAUAUUGCACAAUGGAGGAAACUCUGAUGCAGCAACGCCGCGUGGAGGAUGACACUUUUCGGAGCGUAAACUCCUUUUAUAUAGGAAGAAGAUGACGGUACUAUAUGAAUAAGCGCCGGCUAACUCCGUGCCAGCAGCCGCGGUAAUACGGAGGGCGCAAGCGUUACUCGGAAUCACUGGGCGUAAAGAGCGUGUAGGCGGAUUAAAAAGUCAGAAGUGAAAUCCUAUAGCUUAACUAUAGAACUGCUUCUGAAACUCUUAAGCUAGAAUAUGGGAGAGGUAGAUGGAAUUUCUGGUGUAGGGGUAAGAUCCGUAGAGAUCAGAAGGAAUACCGAUUGCGAAGGCGAUCUACUAGAACAUUAUUGACGCUGAGACGCGAAAGCGUGGGGAGCAAACAGGAUUAGAUACCCUGGUAGUC